rnacentral:misc_RNA from 1 species
GAAAUGCGAUAAGUAAUGUGAAUUGCAGAAUUCAGUGAAUCAUCGAAUCUUUGAACGCACAUUGCGCCCGCCAGUAUUCUGGCGGACAUGCCUGUUCGAGCGUCAUUACAACCCUCAGGCCCCCGGGCCUGGCGUUGGGGAUCGGCGGAAGCCCCCUGCGGGCACAACGCCGUCCCCCAAAUACAGUGGCGGUCCCGCCGCAGCUUCCAUUGCGUAGUAGCUAACACCUCGCAACUGGAGAGCGGCGCGGCCACGCCGUAAAACACCCAACUUCUGAAUGUUGACCUCGAAUCAGGUAGGAAUACCCGCUGAACUUCAGC